rnacentral:misc_RNA from 1 species
GCGUUAUUCGCUAGUACCGAACGACUUCCGUCGUUGCCUCGACGCGUCGGAUCCGUCGGGUCCGCCGUGUUCGUGCGACGUCGGCGUCUGUGAGGAAUGC